GAUGAAGAACGUAGCGAAAUGCGAUAAGUAAUGUGAAUUGCAGAAUUCAGUGAAUCAUCGAAUCUUUGAACGCACAUUGCGCCCCUUGGUAUUCCGGGGGGCAUGCCUGUUCGAGCGUCAUUUCAACCCUCAAGCUCUGCUUGGUAUUGGGCUCCGUCCUCCUCGGACGCGCCUCAAAGACCUCGGCGGUGGCGUCUUGCCUCAAGCGUAGUAGAAACACCUCGCUUUGGAGUGCAUGGCGUCGCCCGCCGGACGAAACCUUUUGUAUUUUCUCAAAGGUUGACCUCGGAUCAGGUAGGGAUACCCGCUGAACUUAAGCAUACAAUAAGCGGAGGA
rnacentral:misc_RNA from 1 species